rnacentral:rRNA from 1 species
GACGAACGCUGGCGGCGCGCUUAACACAUGCAAGUCGAGCGAUAACCAUGGCUUCGGCCAUGGGGAGAGCGGCGAACGGGUGAGUAACACGUGAGCGAUCUGCCCUCGACACCGGGAUAGCCCGGGGAAACCCGGAUUAAUACCGGAUGGCCUCUCGAGCCCACGGGCUCGCUAGAAAAGAUGGCUUCGGCUUUCGGUCGAGGAGGAGCUUGCGGCGGAUUAGCUUGUUGGUGGGGUAGCGGCUCACCAAGGCGACGAUCCGUAGCUGGUCUGAGAGGACGAUCAGCCACACUGGGACUGAGACACGGCCCAGACUCCUACGGGAAGCAGCAGUGGGGAAUCUUGCGCAAUGGGCGAAAGCCUGACGCAGCGACGCCGCGUGAGGGAAGAAGGCCUUCGGGUUGUAAACCUCUUUCAGGAGGGACGAAGCCACUCGGGUUAAUACCCCAGAGGGUGACGGUACCUCCAGAAGAAGCCCCGGCUAACUACGUGCCAGCAGCCGCAGUAAUAC